rnacentral:rRNA from 1 species
GACGAACGCUGGCGGCGUGCCUAAUACAUGCAAGUAGAACGCACAGUUUAUACCGUAGCUUGCUACACCAUAGACUGUGAGUUGCGAACGGGUGAGUAACGCGUAGGUAACCUGCCUGGUAGCGGGGGAUAACUAUUGGAAACGAUAGCUAAUACCGCAUAAUAUUAAUUAUUACAUGAUAAUUAAUUGAAAGGUGCAAUUGCACCACUACCAGAUGGACCUGCGUUGUAUUAGCUAGUAGGUGAGGUAACGGCUCACCUAGGCGACGAUACAUAGCCGACCUGAGAGGGUGAUCGGCCACACUGGGACUGAGACACGGCCCAGACUCCUACGGGAGGCAGCAGUAGGGAAUCUUCGGCAAUGGACGAAAGUCUGACCGAGCAACGCCGCGUGAGUGAAGAAGGUUUUCGGAUCGUAAAGCUCUGUUGCAAGAGAAGAACGGGUGUGAGAGUGGAAAGUUCACACUGUGACGGUAUCUUACCAGAAAGGGACGGCUAACUACGUG